CUUUGUUAGAGAGAAAACUUGUGUCGUUCAGUGUCGUGACUUUUUACGCUUAUAUUUGCAAUAAUAAUUGUUAAACAAUUAUAAAUUGUUGAUAAAUCGAUUAAUUAAAUUAUUCUGAACAGAUUGUGAUAUAAAUUAUCGUGAACUUUUGUGAAAUUUGCCCAAAAUUAAUGGACAUGUCAAAGCUCUUGGAGCUGACAAAGACAGCUAUUAAUUUGUUAAAUAAUGGACAAAUAACAUGUUGUGCUAUAAAUUUUUUCUGAAUUUUGUGAAAUUUGACAAAAAUUAAUGCACAUGUCAAUGACGUUGAAGCUGACAAAGGAAAAUCUUUAUUUGGCAAACAAAGGACAAAUGGUA